GCUUUCAUCAGAUGGAUUUUCUUGGAAAUGCAUUUGGAUUAUUAGCUGCACAUCCAAUUAGACCUUUGGUAUCACUACAUCACAUGGAGAAAAUUGAUCCAAUUUUCCCUAACAUGACAAGAAUGAAGUCCCUGGAGCAUUUGUACCAUGCUGCAAAUUUUGAUCCACAAAGAAUUUUGCAGCAAACAGUAUGCUACGAUCGACGAUUUUCGUGGACAGUGUCAGUGUCAUGGGGCUAUGUUGUACAAGUUUUUGAGAACAAUGUACAAUUGCCUGAUG
rnacentral:misc_RNA from 1 species